GUAGAAGGGUCACUGAGGUGCAGAGAUGUUGGAAGAAGCUCAAAGGCUUGUAGGAUUGAGGGGGCCUGUCUCCAUACUUGCCCACCUUCAUUGCAAGGAUCUCACUAUCACCAUCAUCGGGCAGCCCUGAUGGUGAAAAUCCUCUGUGUGGAGCUGAAAUCUCUGGCCAUUGCUCUCGGCUACAGGGCCGAGGAGGCCCCAGCUAGCGGCCUAAGGGAGGGAAGCCAGGCCAACCCUACUGGCCUUCUCUCCCACCAGUGCCCACCCCGGGCUGGAGCUGUUUCCAAGCUGCAUGGAGGCCUGCUCUUGCCCAUCGGACGGCUUUAACCCUGUCUGUGACCCCAGCACUCGUGUGGAAUACAUCACACCCUGCCACGCAGGCUGCUCAAGCCGGGUGGUCCGGGAUGCUCUGGACAAAAGCCAGGUUUUCUACACCAACUGCAGCUGUGUGGCGGAGGGCAACCCCGUGCUGGCAGGAUCCUGCGACUCAACCUGCAGCCACCUGGUGGUGCCCUUCCUGCUCCUGGUCAGCCUGGGCUCGGCCCUGGCCUGUCUCACCCACACACCCUCCUUCAUGCUCAUCCUAAGAGGAGUGAAGAAAGAAGACAAGACUUUGGCUGUGGGCAUCCAGUUCAUGUUCCUGAGGAUUUUGGCCUGGAUGCCCAGCCCCGUGAUCCACGGCAGCGCCAUCGACACCACCUGUGUGCACUGGGCCCUGAGCUGUGGGCGUCGAGCUGUCUGUCGCUACUACAAUA
rnacentral:sRNA from 1 species